CUACAUAUUACAAGGUUAGGUGCCUUUAAGGGCUUAAUAGGGAAGACCGGUGUAAUACCGGCGCGGUCCCGCCACUGUAAUGGGGAGUAACCCAAGUUAUACCACUGAGAUGAGAAUCUUGGGAAGGUUUGGGUGAACAAUGAACCAGAGCCAGGAGAACUGCCUAACUGAUAAUCACCGU
rnacentral:ncRNA from 2 species